GUUUGCCGACGACAUGAAACACGGGAACAUUUCCCUGAAGAUUACGAAUGUGUCGGAGGGAGACGCAGGCAGAUACCGCUGUUUCGUACCAAAGCUACAGAGUCGGGUGAAAUUUGCGAUCGUCGAACUUGUAGUUGAUUCAACACUUGUCAGAAACUCGACAACAGAGACACCGCUGCAAACUCCAACAACUGCAGAUCACCGAGACGCUACUCCAACAAACGAUCGAACCAGGAGCCAUGUGAU